UACAGAGGGGGCAAGCGUUGUUCGGAAUUACUGGGCGUAAAGGGCGCGUAGGCGGCCCGCUAAGUCGAACGUGAAAUCCCCAGGCUCAACCUGGGAACUGCGUCCGAUACUGGCAGGCUUGAAUCCGGGAGAGGGAUGUGGAAUUCCAGGUGUAGCGGUGAAAUGCGUAGAUAUCUGGAGGAACACCGGUGGCGAAGGCGGCAUCCUGGACCGGUAUUGACGCUGAGGCACGAAAGCCAGGGGAGCGAACGGG
rnacentral:rRNA from 1 species